UCGUAUAGUGAUAAGUCUCGUUAAUUCAGUAAAACGAGCGCGAUCUCAAUGUCAUAAAGAUUUAAACUUUUCUUUUUGGAUUGUUUUUUUCUUCAUUAGAACUUAAAGUUCUUUGGAAUUGACAGACCGCUGUUGUAAGGUUAAAUUCCUGUAAACAAAGGAGGGGUGAGGCGAGAAUA
rnacentral:rRNA from 1 species